CCAGGGAUGGAAACUUCACCAUAGCAGUAACCUGAGCCACCAUAGUAAUAACACCAAAUCCUUAACCUGCUGAGCCACCAUAGUAAUAACACCAAAUCCUUAACCUGCUGAGCCACCAUAGUAAUAACACCAAAUCCUUAACCUGCUGAGCCACCAUAGUAAUAACACCAGAUCCUUAACCUGCUGAGCCACCAUAUAAUAACACCAGAUCCUUAACCUGCUGAGCCACCAGGGAACUUUAUUCUUUUUUUUUUAAUUUAAUUUUUUUUCUAUUGGAAUAUAAUUGAUUUAAAACGUUGUGUUAGUUUCAGGUGUACAGCAUAGUGAUUCAGGUAUACAUAUAUACACAUAUCCAUUCGUUUUCAGAUUCUUUUUCCAUAUGGAUUAUUAAAGAUAGUCUUCCUUGUGCUAUAUAGUAGGUUCCUGAUAAUUCUAUUUUACAUAUAGUAGUGUGUAUCUGUUAAUCCCAAACUCCUAAUUUAUCCAUCCCCCCCACACUUUUCUCCUUUGGUAACCAUGUUUGUUUUCUAUGUCUGUGAUUCUAUUUCUGCUUUAAUUAAUUAAUUAAUUUAUUUAUUUAGGCCAUGCCCACAGCAUGUAGAAGUUUCCAGGCCAGGGAUCAAACCCAUGCCACAGCAGCGACCUAAGUCACUUCAGUAACAAUGCCAGGUCCUUAACCUGCUGUGCUACAAGGGAACUCCUAUUUCUGUUUUAUAAAUAAGUUGUGUCAUAUUUUAGAUUCCAUAUACAAGUAAUAUCAUAUAGUAUUUGUUUUUCUGACUUACUUCACUUAGUAUGAUUAUCUCCAGGUCUCCAUAUAACUUUUAGAAUCACAGUUCACUAAGAUUUCUGUUGGGACGGCAUUGAAUUUUGGGGUCAAUUGUGGAAAAAAAUACCCAUAUUAACACUAUGGAGUCUUCUAAUCCAUGAGCAGUAUAUCUCCUUUAACUCGGGGCUCCUGAUUUAAAUAUAAUUUAUUAAGUAUGUAUUUCAAGUACCGUGUAAGGGAUAUUAGGAUGAGUAAGAAAGCCUUUGUUUGGAGAAAGGAACAUACUAGUAGAUUAAAUAAAAAUGCCUCACAUUAAAAGGAGUUUUUAAUAUUUUUAAGAGCACUGUUACCCUUUUCAGUUGGAACUGGUUUGGAGUGGGAAGGGAUAUUUUUAGCUUGAAAUUCAGUUAUGUAACACUCUCUGAUUAUGUGUGAACAAGUCCUUUGAUUUUGUGUAGUAAGCUAACCAGGAGAAUUUUAUCUUUCUUUUAUUGGCCACAUUUGCAGCAUAUGGAAGUUCCUGGGCCAGGGAUUGAAUCUGAACCAUAGCCAUGUCCUGUGCCACAGCUGUGGCAACACCAGAUCCUUAACCCAUUGUGCCAAGGUGGGAACAGGAGACUUUUUAGAAAAUUCACACUAAGAAAAGUAUGUCAAUUUAGAUACAGCUUAUGAGGUACUAUGGCGUGUAGUUCAAAUCAUCAUCCAUUGUCUGGUUGAUAACCCCCGACCCAAAUUAUAUGAGUCCUGUGAAGAGAUAAGAGACAGUUACUGUAAGCAAAUAUAAAAUGAACUAAAAAUGUUAAUGACUACAUAGUAAAGAACUAUGUAACAGUAGAGCCCAAACGGCCCUGGGGUACAGCCCAAUUGUACCACCUGGAAGGGUACAACUCUGAAGUUGGAAGAGGGGGCUUACCCACACUGCUACAGGAAUUAAAUAGGGCCUUUGGCCCUGUGGGAACUAUAGGGAAUCAGAGGGCUUUUGUCAGCAUCGGAACUCCAUCACAUCAAAUAGCUGUCAGGACUGGGUCCAGGGCACAGCAGACCAGGUCUGCCCAGCAGAUAUGGUAAUAUCCAGAAAACAGUGGCACCGUCUUCUCAGGUGCUUGGAUUUGUUCCUGGGCACAGGUGAGGCCUACCUUCAAUCUGUCCUCCCCUGAGUGUCUGACCAGGUCCAGGGUCCUAUCACUACAAAGGAGCCAGCCGAACACAGCUCACAUACUCAGUACCUCAUCUGAUCCGCUCAGCAGACUGUUUUAUUCCCAUUUCACAGAUGACAAGACUGACCUUUAGAGCACUGGAUCUGUUAUUAGAACUGUCAGGUUGAUUCCUCUAGCUCUGAGUCCCAGAGGUAAUGUUUGACUUAUCAUUUUACAUUCUGACAACUGGAAUUUUAAGUGUCUUCAUUGCCUUUAUAAGCUCACUGAGCAUUUCAGCUGUUUAUCAUGUAUUGAUUCCUAGAUCAGUUUUAUUACAACAAACAUAAUCCAUAUCUUUUAAGAAAAA
rnacentral:lncRNA from 1 species